UUUAAAUCAACUUGGAUAAGUCCAAUUGCAUCAUCAUAAGUCUAACAUGGUCAAACAAGGUUUGACAAAUUUUCUCAACAUUUUUUGAAAACAGAAAUUAUUUUAAAAUCAAUUAAAAGCAUUAAAAUAUAACACAAAUGAAUUAAAAUCUCAAAUAAAUCUCAAAUCAAUUAUGAAAUUGAUGAGAAUAUUUUCAUAGACUUAUCAUGAUCCAAAUGUGUUAAGAAAAUAUUUUUGGAAUUUUUGAAUAUCAAA
rnacentral:lncRNA from 1 species